CCGGGCUGUUUGAUCACAUGCUGGGAAGGUUUGAAGUUACGGCUUUAUGUCACACAUGCGUGCGGACAAAGUGAAUGCCACACGGGCGCAGAAGUGACACCGAGGCGACCAGUCCACGGCAGCUAGGUAAAGGCUGGAGUUAAGUCCACGCGGGGUGGAGAGAAAAAGGAGGAGAAGCGCGCGUGGAGAGGAUGAAGAUGAAAGCCAAGGGAGGCUAUAGUAUCUCACCACCGGCGUCUUCGAAAUCCAGACUAUAGGACACACGGGGAAUCAAGACACGUGUAAUUUGGGCCAGUUGAGAAAGUUCAGCGACCGUAGCCUAUACAAUGGUUAUAAAUGGGUCCCACCUGAACAGCUCCUCGCCAGACCUCAGCGACCGUCCGCCGUGGGUUACCACAACUUUGGGCUGCUUUCUCAUCUUCACCAUCGUUGUUGACAUCCUGGGCAACCUCUUGGUCAUCUUCUCCGUGUAUCGGAACAAGAAGCUCAGAAACGCAGGGAACAUCUUUGUGGUGAGCCUGGCAGUGGCAGACCUUGUGGUGGCCAUCUACCCGUACCCUCUGGUUCUCACCUCCAUCUUCAACAAUGGCUGGAACCUGGGCUACGUUCACUGCCAGAUCAGCGGCUUCCUUAUGGGCGUCAGCGUCAUCGGAUCAAUCUUCAACAUCACUGGCAUUGCCAUCAACCGAUACUGUUAUAUCUGCCACAGCCUCAAGUAUGAUAAACUGUACAGUGACAAAAACUCAGUCUGCUAUGUGAUGUUAAUCUGGGCGCUGACUGUGGUGGCCAUCGUGCCCAACCUGUUUGUGGGUUCACUUCAGUAUGACCCACGGGUUUAUUCCUGCACAUUCGAGCAGUCAGCCAGCUCAGCAUACACUAUCGCAGUGGUUUUCUUUCACUUUAUUUUACCCAUCAUGAUUGUCACAUACUGCUACCUGCGCAUUUGGAUACUGGUAAUACAGGUGAGGAGACGAGUCAAGCCAGACAACCGGCCCAAGCUAACGCCACAUGAUGUUAGAAACUUUAUCACUAUGUUUGUAGUGUUUGUGCUCUUCGCCGUUUGCUGGGCACCGCUCAACUUCAUCGGUCUGGCUGUAGCGAUCAAACCAGAGGUGGUGGUUCCCCUCAUCCCAGAGUGGUUAUUUGUGGCCAGCUACUUUAUGGCCUACUUCAACAGCUGCCUUAAUGCCAUUGUGUAUGGUGUGCUAAACCAGAACUUCAGACGGGAGUACAAGCGCAUUGUAGUGUCAGUGUGCACAGCACGCAUCUUCUUCCAGGACAGCUCCAACGAUGCAGGGGAGAGACUCAAGUGUAAACCGUCACCCCUCAUGACCAACAAUAACCAGGUCAAGGUGGACUCUGUCUGAUCCAGAACUCAGAGGAAUACCGAGCAGACAUUAAAAGAUGUGCUGUGACUGAGAGUAAAAAAAGAAAAAGGCAGAAAAAUACCAAAUAUUAAUAUAAAACAGCUUCUAUACUCUGAGCUGUCUACAGACGUUCAUAUGGUGCUAUUGGACCUCUGAACAAUCACAGUAAAGACAGGGGUGCAUAUUAUCUUUAUCUCUUGUUUGACUCUGCAGUACCUGUAGUACAGUAAAUAUGACGUACGUUUUGUUUUCCUGUUUACAGUGAUGAUAUAAAUGUAUUAUGCAUUAUAUAAGUAUUUAUUUUGUAUGACAUGUCAUGUAGAUAUAUGGUAAGAUACAUCAGGUUCCAGUGAAAUGAAGACAACAUUAUAUCAGGCCAACAAAAACAUUCUACAAAACUUGAUUGAAAAUAUACACAGACAUUCAUAAAUUUUUGCCAAU